CAGAUAGUUAACAGGCCCAAGGCCUGAAACAAAAGAAGAGUGAGCACACUGCCAAGCACAGCCAAGGCAGUUGGGACAAGAUUUCCUUUCGCAAGGAGCCUGGUGGGUAACGAUGGUGUGCUGCUGAGAAGGCUCUUACACAGACAGCAUAGGUCUGCUGUUACCAGGCCUGCAGAGGGAAGCCCUGGUGGAAGCACCACCUAGCCUGAGAACAUCUACAGAGACAUUUCAUCCUCUCUGACCCAAAACAAAAUAAACACCACAAAGUGAACCAACACAAGCAGGAAGACCGGACUUAACAAACAAAUGGGGAAACUGAGGCCAUGAGAAAUUAAGUGACUUGCCCAUGGCUACACUGAUGAUUAACCACAAUGUGAAGAUUAGAAUUAAUCUCCUGACUCCUGAUCCAGUGGUCUUUCCUGGGAAUUUGUCUCUUCCCCCCUGCUGCUCCUGCCGUGGUCUUCACUGCCCAACAAGAAGGAAGAGGGUCAAAGCAAAGCCAACUGGGGACCCCAGCUGAUUCUGCUGCUUCUUCCACUAAACACAUCCAUAAUAUUCUCUUUGGUAAUACUGCAGAUUUCCAAAUGUGCCAAAACAGCUAAGCAAAAAGCAUCAUUCCAACACGUUUAAUGACUGCUUUGGGAGCCCAACUUUAACAGUGAGACAGGCACAAAAGCAGUAGAGCUGUCCCACGUGGAAUGGGCUAUCUCGUGACACUGUGACCCCCUUUCUUUCACCCUGGGUCUUCAAAAAGAGAAUGGAUGACACUAUGAUGAGGAGGGGUCUCUAUAUUGGUGACAGGCCAAAAUACAGGACUACCUACAGUCCUUUCGCAGUCCAUAAUCCUCAAGUCCCUCAGCUCUUCCAUGUACCACCUUCUAGACUACACUUAAAAUGCAUCCUGAACGUUUGUAAAGUACCCUGAAGGAACCCAUUCCAGUUCUGAAUCCGAUUACUAGGUUCAAGCCACACAAAUAACAACAGUGCAGCUAGUCUGAGCUAGAGGCUUCUUUACCUAACUGCAAAGUAAAUGUCCUUUCUAUUCAGCCGCAUCUAGCUCUUGACCCUAUGUUUACCAUAGAUACCAGUUCUUCUCACUUAGAUUCUCUGACUUAUCAGAGUAUUAUAGAGCAAACAUUAGCUAUGCCUGUGACUUGAGUUGUGUCAAUCUGUAAUGAAAAUGUGCCAGCUUUAUCAUCACUCACAGACUUCUUAAUUAACCUUCUGAUAUUGUCAAAAUCGCACUCUCUUUUGUUCUAGAAAUGAGCAUUUACAUGUGCAUUUUUUUUCCUUCAUUGCUUUUUUACUGGCUGUUUUACCAAAUCCUGAUGUUCUUUAAAAAGUGUAUUCUGCAAAAACAAAAGAAAGCAAUAAUUAUAGACACUACAAUAUAGAAUUUCUUCCCUGAAACUCUCUCAUGGUCCUUAGAUUCCUUGAUACUUCACCAGUGACUUUAAUAACAUCAAUCACUCAUUUUAAAACUCUUUUUUGAUCAAUGCUAUCCUCUUAGAGCCUUGAUUACUCAAACAACAGGUUACUAACUUCACCUUUUAAGAGUUCUCCUCCUAGGCUUUUUCUCAAUAAAGGGAGGAAGUAGAGAUGACAUUUUGCGUGCCCCUUUAUCUAUAAAAAUGCCAGCCACCAAUCUGUCAGGCCUAAACAAAAUUUUUCUGCAAGCUGUGUCUUUAACAUAAGCAAAGCAUAUAAUUCCAAAAAAAAAAAAUCUUGCUUUUCUGAAAAGCAACUAAGCCAAAGACAUUGUGUUCCAUCUUUGUGUUGAAAUGCAGAUUUCCCACUAAAAGGCAAAUCCUUCAUUUCAAAAGGUUGAAUAGGAUGGUACUUAAAAAAAGAAUUCCAGCUGGUUAAAUUUAGGGUGUUAAAAAAAGUUCACUCCAAUAAUAUUCUUUGGCUCUGGG
rnacentral:lncRNA from 1 species